GGGCCCGUGGCCUAGCACGGAAAGGCGCCGACCCUAGACCUCGGAGAACCCGGGUUCGAAUCCCGGCGGGCCCGCCA
rnacentral:tRNA from 1 species